rnacentral:tRNA from 1 species
GGCCCCGUAGCUCAGUGGAUAGAGCGAUCGCCUCCUAAGCGAUAGGUCGCCGGUCCGAUUCCGGCUGGGGUCA